CCGGCGCGCCGCCUCGCGGUGCCAGCCCGGGAGCCCGGGAGCCCGGGCGCGGGACCAGGCUACGCGGGGCGCUGGGAGGGGACUGGUGGCCCGAGGCGGGUGGGUCGCGGGGCCCGGCUCCCCGCCCGUGGGACCGCGCGCCCUCGCCGAGCGCAGCCUCCCCGCGUGUGGGGCCCCAGCACGUGGCGCAUCCCUGCGCGCGUGCGCGUGCAGCCGGGGCCCGAGCGCCACGUGCGAGCUGGGGUGCGCGGGCACUGGUGCGUGCCGGGAGCGGGGACGCCCUGCCCUCCGAGGUUGCUCUGCCCUCCGAGGUCGCCCGCAGCUGCCGCCCGCUCUGGGCUUGGGGACCUCGGCCCUGCGCCUUUCCGCACUCCUGGCAGGUGCAGCCCCAGGAGGCAAUGGGGCAGGCAAACUGGAUGGUGCCCCAGGUGUAGCAAGCUUGGAAGGCUUCAAAGGACGGGACAAGUUUGGCCUGGACAAGUUUCCUCCUAGAAGUCACUUAAUCUGCAAAAUCAAGAUAAGACCAUUUUCCCCAUGUGACUUGACAAGACAAUAUUAAAGCUCAAGGCGCUGAAGACAUAAGCUGUAUUGUAAAGCUAUGUGUUAGCUCAGAACUACGUCUUCAGUGACAACAUAAUGAAGACUAGACGUGACCCUUGACUUUAAGAGCUUGAUCGUGCAUAGGAGGGACAGCAUCUUGGAAAGCAUGUAUAAGGUACAGAAAUAGUACAAUGGAGAGUGUGUUUACACCUUAACUUCUUUUGGGGAAUUGUGAAAGGCUUUGCUGAGGAUGUGAUAUUUGGCCAGAGUACUUAAGGCUGAAUAAAAGCUUGUCCUGCAGAUAGGUGGGAAAUGUUGCACGUGGUGACUUUCUGGGGCCGCUGUCAUGAGGGUGAUAAAAAAAUUUUACUAAGAUAGUUGUCAGUGAGGAAAGGCAGAUUUAUUAGAGAAACUAGGAAAACAUGUUGCAAGGAAGCAAUGGGCAGGUCAGCAAGAGAAGAGCUGACUGCAAAGAGACGAAGGCUUGCUGGGGAUUUUACGGUAUGCCGCUUGUACUGUGUGCUGAAGAGAGCUUUGUGCAGUGCUGGUAAUGCCAAGGUUGCAGUGAGCUAACUUGCAUUUUUCUAUCAGCCGAAGGUCUGCUGAUAAGUUGGGUGCAGGAAGAUUAUGAGUUAUUCGUGAAGGAGGGCUGUGUGUCCUGGACCAUAAACAAAGGCUGACUUACAGCUUAUCUGCUUUCUCCUUUUGCUUUCCCCUGGUCCUGCCAAGCCUAGCUCCUUUUCCCUUACUAGGACUCACAGUAAGGACAUUCGAGGCAGAGGGCACACCAUGUGGAAAGGCAUGUGGGAACCACAACAUUGCCGAGACACAGAGGGAGGUGAUGUUACUGGGAUAUGGGGGAGGUGGGCAGGGCCCAGCUUGUGAGAGGGCCAGUGGGCUCAGUCCAGGAGUUUGGACUUUAUCUUAAGGAAAGGUGGGAGCCAGCAAAA
rnacentral:lncRNA from 10 species